rnacentral:rRNA from 1 species
CAUGCAAGUCGAGUGGGUUUAGACCCACGGCAGACGAGGUAGUAACACGUAGGAACGUACCCGGAAGUCAGGCAUAAUCAGUCGAAAGAUUGGCUAAUUCCUGAUGGUCUCGCAAGAGUAAAGAAUUUCGCUUCCGGAGCGGCCUGCGUAAUAUCAGCUAGUUGGUAAGGUAAUGGCUUACCAAGGCUAUGACAUUUAGGGGAGCUGAGAGGCUGACCCCCACCGAUCGGACUGAGACACGGCCGAUACUCCUACGGGAGGCUGCAGUCGAGAAUAUUUGGCAAUGGGCGAAAGCCUGACCAAGCGACGCCGCGUGAUGGAUGAAGUGCUUAGGUACGUAAACAUCUUUUAUGGAGGAAGAAGUUUUGACAUUACUCCAUGAAUAAGGGGCUCCUAACUCUGUGCCAGCAGGAGCGGUAAUACAGAGGCCCCAAGCGUUACCCGGAAUUAUUGGGCGUAAAGGGUGUGUAGGCGGCAAUGUUAGUCGAUCGUUAAAUAUCUAGGGCUUAACCCUGGAAACCCGAUCGAAACGGCAUUACUAGAGGAUGCGAGAGGUGAAUGGAACUCAUGGUGUAGGGGUGAAAUCCGUUGAUAUCAUGGGGAACACCAAAAGCGAAGGCAAUUCACUGGCGCAUUCCUGACGCUCAGACACGAAAGCGUGGGUAGCGAACGGGAUUAGAUACCCCGGUAGUCCACGCCCUAAACGAUGAUAACUGGAUAUGGGGAGUAUCGACCCUCUCCGUGUCGAAGCUAACGCGUUAAGUUAUCCGCCUGGGUAGUACGGUCGCAAGACUAAAACUCAAAGGAAUAGACGGGGCUCGCACAAGUGGUGGAGCGUGGGGCUUAAUUCGUCGGUAAGCGAAGACCUUACCAGGACUAGAAAUCUCACUGCACGCCUAUUGAAGACAGGAGCCUUCGAGGGUGUGAGACAGGUGAUGCAUGGCUGUCGUCAGUUCGUGGUUUGCACUGUUCCCUUAAGUGGGGUAACGAACGCAACCCUCGUUGCCUGUUAUAUAUGUCAGGCGAGACUGCCCCCUCACGGGGGAGGAAGGUGGGGAUGACGCCAAGUCCGCAUGUCCCUCUGACGUCCUGGGCUGCACACGCGCUACAAUCGCCGUUACAAAGAGGCGCAAUACCGCAAGGUGGAGCAAAUCUCUAAAAGCGGCGCCAGUUCGGAUUGGGGUCUGCAACUCGACCCCAUGAAGCCGGAAUCACUAGUAAUCGUAGAUCAGCCACGCUACGGUGAAUACGUUCUCGAGCCUUGUACUCACCGCCCGUCAACUCAAGGAAGCCGGAAGUACCCGAAGCC